rnacentral:rRNA from 1 species
UGGGGAAUAUUGCACAAUGGGCGCAAGCCUGAUGCAGCAACGCCGCGUGAAGGAUGAAGGCCUUCGGGUUGUAAACUUCUGUCCUAGGGGAAGAAACAAAUGACAUUACCCUUGGAGGAAGCCCCGGCUAACUACGUGCCAGCAGCCGCGGUAAUACGUAGGGGGCGAGCGUUAUCCGGAAUUAUUGGGCGUAAAGAGUGCGUAGGUGGCACCUUAAGCGCAGGGUUUAAGGCAAUGGCUCAACCAUUGUUCGCCUUGCGAACUGGGGUGCUUGAGUGCAGGAGGGGAAAGUGGAAUUCCUAGUGUAGCGGUGAAAUGCGUAGAUAUUAGGAGGAACACCAGUGGCGAAGGCGACUUUCUGGACUGUUACUGACACUGAGGCACGAAAGCGUGGGGAGCAAACAGGAUUAGAUACCCUGGUAGUCCACGCCGUAAACGAUGAGCACUAGGUGUCGGGGUCGCAAGACUUCGGUGCCGCAGUUAACGCAUUAAGUGCUCCGCCUGGGGAGUACGCACGCAAGUGUA